rnacentral:rRNA from 1 species
UCCGGAGGGUGCAAGCGUUAAUCGGAAUUACUGGGCGUAAAGCGCACGCAGGUGGCUGAGUCAGUCGAUUGUGAAAGCCCGGGGCUCAACCCCGGAAUUGCCUUUAAGACUGCAUCGCUUGAAUCCGGGAGAGGUGAGUGGAAUUCCGAGUGUAGAGGUGAAAUUCGUAGAUAUUCGCGAGAACACCAGUGGCGAAGGCGGCUCACUGGCCCGGUACUGACGCUGAGGUGCGAAAGCGUGGGGAGCAAACAGG